CCAGGAGUUCUGGGCUGUAGUGCACUAUGCCGAUCGGAUGUCCACACUAAGUUUGGCAUCAAUAUAGUGACCUCCCGGGAGCGGGAGACCACCAGGUUGCCUAAGGAGGGGUGAACCGGCCCAGGUCAGAAAUGGAGCAGGUCAAAACUCCUGUGCUGAUCAGUAGUAGUAGGAUCGCUCCUAUGAAUAGUCACUGCACUCCUGGCCUGGGCAACAUAGCAAGAUCCCAUCUCUA
rnacentral:SRP_RNA from 1 species